UCCGGUUGAUCCUGCCGGACCCUACUGCUAUCGGGGUGGGACUAAGACAUGCUAGUCAUGCGCCUUCUAGCCAUGAUGAAGGCGCGGCGCACAGCUCAGUAGCACGUGGCUAACCUGCCCUUGGGACAUGGAUACCCCCGGGAAACUGGGGCUAAUACGUGAUAGGUGGAGGCUCCUGGAAUGGGUCUUCGCCUAAAGGGCGCCUAGGCCAUGCUUCUAGGUGCUGCACAAGGAUGGGGCCGCGGCCGAUCAGGUUGUUGGUGAGGUAAUGGCCCACCAAGCCUAUGACCGGUGCGGGCCGUGGGAGCGGGAGCCCGGAGAUGGGCACUGAGACAAGGGCCCAGGUCCUACGGGGCGCAGCAGUCGCGAAAACUCUGCAAUACACGAAAGUGUGACAGGGCUACCCCGAGUGCCGUCCGCUGAGGAUGGCUUUUAUCCAGUCUAGAUAGCUGGAGGAAUAAGGAGAGGGCAAGUCUGGUGUCAGCCGCCGCGGUAAUACCAGCUCUCCGAGUGGUGGGGAUGAUUAUUGGGCCUAAAGCAUCCGUAGCCGGCUGGGCAAGUCCCCUGUUAAAUCCACCGAUUUAAUCGGUGGAUUGCGGGGUAUACUGCUCGGCUAGGGGACGGGAGAGGUCGACGGUAUUUCCGGGGUAGGGGUGAAAUCCUAUAAUCCCGGAAAGACCACCAGUGGCGAAGGCUGUCGGCUAGAACGCGCCCGACGGUGAGGGAUGAAAGCUGGGGGAGCGAACCGGAUUAGAUACCCGGGUAGUCCCAGCCGUAAACGAUGCAGGCUAGGUGUUUGGGCGGCCACGUGCCGCUCUAGUGCCGCAGGAAAGCUGUUAAGCCUGCCGCCUGGGGAGUACGGCCGCAAGGCUGAAACUUAAAGGAAUUGGCGGGGGAGCACCACAAGGGGUGAAGCUUGCGGUUUAAUUGGAGUCAACGCCGGAAAUCUCACCGGGAGCGACAGCAGGAUGAAAGCCAGAUUAAAGGUCUUGCCAGACAAGCUGAGAGGAGGUGCAUGGCC
rnacentral:rRNA from 1 species